CACUCCUGCGGGAGGCAGCAGUGGGGAAUUUUGGACAAUGGGCGAAAGCCUGAUCCAGCAAUGCCGCGUGAGUGAAGAAGGCCUUCGGGUUGUAAAGCUCUUUUGUCAGGGAAGAAACGGUGAAAGCUAAUAUCUUUUGCUAAUGACGGUACCUGAAGAAUAAGCACCGGCUAACUACGUGCCAGCAGCCGCGGUAAUACGUAGGGUGCAAGCGUUAAUCGGAAUUACUGGGCGUAAAGCGUGCGCAGGCGGUUUUGUAAGUCUGAUGUGAAAUCCCCGGGCUCAACCUGGGAAUUGCAUUGGAGACUGCAAGGCUAGAAUCUGGCAGAGGGGGGUAGAAUUCCACGUGUAGCAGUGAAAUGCGUAGAUAUGUGGAGGAACACCGAUGGCGAAGGCAGCCCCCUGGGUCAAGAUUGACGCUCAUGCACGAAAGCGUGGGGAGCAAACAGGAUUAGAAACCCGAGUAGUCC
rnacentral:rRNA from 1 species